rnacentral:rRNA from 1 species
GUGAAAAUCGUAUAGAUAGGGGGGGAACCCCAGGGGAGAGGGCGACUUUGUUCUCCAAAAGUGAGGGCGUGGCGAGAAAGUGUGGAGCACAAAGAGGCUUAUACCCCUUGGUGUCCACGCAGUAAUCGAGAGUUAUAAGUGUCAGAGGGUUUCCCCUUUUGUGUUGCAGCAAAGGCUUUAAGCAUUCCCCUUGGGGAGUACGGCCGCAAGGUUGAAAUUCAAAGGAAUUGAGGGGGGCCCGCACAAGGGGUGGAGCAUGUGGUUUAAUUGGAAGAAACGGGAAGAACUUUACCAGGUCUUGACAUCUUCUGACAUUCCUAGAGAUAGGACGUUCCCCUUCGGGGGACAGAGUGACAGGUGGUGCAUGGUUGUCGUCAGCUCGUGUCGUGAGAUGUUGGGUUAAGUCCGCAACGAGCGCAACCCUUGAUUUUAGUUGCCAGCAUUAAGUUGGGCACUUUAAGGUGACUGCCGGUGACAAACCGGAGGAAGGUGGGGAUGACGUCAAAUCAUCAUGCCCCUUAUGACCUGGGCUACACACGUGCUACAAUGGAUGGUACAAAGGGCAGCAAAGCGGUGACGCCUAGCAAAUCCCAUAAAACCAUUCUCAGUUCGGAUUGUAGGCUGCAACUCGCCUACAUGAAGCGGGAAUCGCUAGUAAUCGCGGAUCAGCAUGCCGCGGUGAAUACGUUCCCGGGCCUUGUACACACCGCCCGUCACACCACGAGAGUUUGUAACACCCGAAGUCGGUGGGGUAACCAUUGGAGCCAGCCGCCUAAGGUGAUAGAU